UACGGAGGGUGCAAGCGUUAUCCGGAUUCACUGGGUUUAAAGGGUGCGUAGGUGGACAGGUAAGUCAGUGGUGAAAUCUCUGGGCUUAACCCAGAAACUGCCGUUGAUACUAUCUGUCUUGAUAUAGUGGAGGUGAGCGGAAUAUGUCAUGUAGCGGUGAAAUGCUUAGAUAUGACAUAGAACACCCAUUGCGAAGGCAGCUCGCUACACUAUUAUUGACACUGAGGCACGAAAGCGUGGGGAUCAAACAGG
rnacentral:rRNA from 1 species